rnacentral:rRNA from 1 species
AUGCAUGCAGUCGAGCGAUGGAUUAGAGCUUGCUCUUAUGAAGUUAGCGGCGGACGGGUGAGUAACACGUGGGUAACCUGCCCAUAAGACUGGGAUAACUCCGGGAAACCGGGGCUAAUACCGGAUAACAUUUUGAACCGCAUGGUUCGAAAUUGAAAGGCGGCUUCGGCUGUCACUUAUGGAUGGACCCGCGUCGCAUUAGCUAGUUGGUGAGGUAACGGCUCACCAAGGCAACGAUGCGUAGCCGACCUGAGAGGGUGAUCGGCCACACUGGGACUGAGACACGGCCCAGACUCCUACGGGAGGCAGCAGUAGGGAAUCUUCCGCAAUGGACGAAAGUCUGACGGAGCAACGCCGCGUGAGUGAUGAAGGCUUUCGGGUCGUAAAACUCUGUUGUUAGGGAAGAACAAGUGCUAGUUGAAUAAGCUGGCACCUUGACGGUACCUAACCA